rnacentral:rRNA from 1 species
CGAAGGGUGCAAGCGUUACUCGGAAUUACUGGGCGUAAAGCGUGCGUAGGUGGUUCGUUAAGUCUGAUGUGAAAGCCCUGGGCUCAACCUGGGAAUGGCAUUGGAAACUGGCGAUCUAGAGUGCGGUAGAGGGUAGUGGAAUUCCCGGUGUAGCAGUGAAAUGCGUAGAGAUCGGGAGGAACAUCUGUGGCGAAGGCGACUGCCUGGACCAGCACUGACACUGAGGCACGAAAGCGUGGGGAGCAAACAGGAUUAGAUACCCUGGUAGUCCACGCCCUAAACGAUGCGAACUGGAUGUUGGGUGCAACUAGGCACUCAGUAUCGAAGCUAACGCGUUAAGUUCGCCGCCUGGGGAGUACGGUCGCAAGACUG